AACAAACGCUGGCGGCGUGCCUAAUACAUGCAAGUCGAACGGGGAAAGCUUUCGGGUGAGUACUAGUGGCGCACGGGUGAGUAACGCGUGGAUAAUCUGCCCUCGAAUGGGGAAUAACUAGUCGAAAGAUUAGCUAAUACCGCAUAAGACCACGACUACUGAGGUAGUUGGGGUCAAAGGAGCAAUUCGUUUGAGGAUGAGUCCGCGUAAGAUUAGCUAGUUGGUGAGGUAAUGGCUCACCAAGGCGAUGAUCUUUAACUGGUCUGAGAGGAUGAUCAGUCACACUGGAACUGAGACACGGUCCAGACUCCUACGGGAGGCAGCAGUAGGGAAUAUUGGACAGUGGGGGCAACCCUGAUCCAGCGACGCCGCGUGAGCGAUGAAGGCCUUCGGGUCGUAAGGCUCUGUUGUAAGGGAAAAAGUUCUGAUUGUACCUUACGAGAAAGGAUCGGCUAACUUCGUGCCAGCAGCCGCAGUAA
rnacentral:rRNA from 1 species